rnacentral:rRNA from 1 species
CCUACGGGAGGCAGCAGUGAGGAAUAUUGGUCAAUGGCCGCAAGUCUGAACCAGCCAAGUCGCGUGAAGGAAGACGGCUCUAUGAGUUGUAAACUUCUUUUGUACGGGAGUAAACGCAGAUACGUGUAUAUGUCUGAAUGUACCGUACGAAUAAGCAUCGGCUAACUCCGUGCCAGCAGCCGCGGUAAUACGGAGGAUCCGAGCGUUAUCCGGAUUUAUUGGGUUUAAAGGGUGCGUAGGCUGUCGGAUAAGUUAGAGGUGAAAUUCCGAGGCUCAACUUCGAAAUUGCCUGUGAUACUGGUAGGCUAGAGAGUAGUUGAGGUAGGCGGAAUGUGUGGUGUAGCGGUGAAAUGCUUAGAGAUCACACAGAACUCCGAUUGCGAAGGCAGCUUACCAAGCUACUACUGACGUUGAUGCACGAAAGCGUGGGGAGCAAACAGGAUUAGAUACCCGAGUAGUC